rnacentral:tRNA from 1 species
GGGACUGUAGCUCAGUUGGUAGAGUGCUUGUCUAGCACACAUGAAGGCCUGGUUCAAUCCUCAGUACCA